rnacentral:rRNA from 1 species
GACAGAGGUGCCGAGCGUUAGGCGGAAUCACUGGGCUUAAAGCGUGUGUAGGCGGAUCGUUAAGUACCUUGUGAAAUCCCGCGGCUUAACCGUGGAACUGCUUGGUAUACUGCCUGUCUUGAGCCAGCUAGGGGCAACCGGAACAAAUGGUGGAGCGGUGAAAUGCGUAGAUAUCAUUUGGAACGCCAAUGGUGAAAACAGGUUGCUGGGGCUGUGCUGACGCUGAGACACGAAAGCUAGGGGAGCAAACAGG